CCCCUCUCAGGAUCACCCCUGGAGAGUUUCCAAUAUUCUCCUAGUCUCAGCUAUGGGAGGGAGAGUCAAGCAGAGGCCCACCCAUUCCAUUCCUAGCUUGGGCAGUGGCUAACGAGUGAAAGGCAAUCUGCUACAAGU